GGCAAGUGCUGCUUUUCCUUUAUCUCAAUUGGUUGGAGUUUCUCCUUUUUGAAGCCGGUGAUCUCCUGCUGCAGAUCGCUACCGAUUGCGUGCUUGGGUUCCUCAUCUGCCAUCUCUAGAGGCCGGCGAGCUGCACCAGAACAGAAGUGAUGCUGACUGACCUACUGAGCAUUUCCAGCACAUUCAGUUUUUAUGUUCUAUUGCCUGCAAUACUCAUUGUUGAAGAACCCCAAAUGUACUGCUCAACACCACCUGGACCCUCAUCUAGGAGCAGCCAGCCUGAUCUAUGUAUGUCCCACCUUUCAGGGACUUUGUCAGGGAUGGAGAAAUUUGGCUAUGAAGAAAGAUUGGCUUGGUGCUUGCUGCCCUGCUGAGGAUGAUUUCUUUAAAUGCUAGGAGAAUUGAAUGCAAAAGUCCCAGAAGCCAAGUUUGCCAUCGGCAAGACACACUUCCUGCAACGUGUGAGAUAAAAGAAAUUGAAGCUGAGGAUGGGAAUAUGAAUGAAUCUAAUACUGUUCUCAGUGGGAUCCCUCUUCAUACAUUCUGAGCCAGUAAACACUGAAGCAGGAGCAGUAGAAGAAAAGGAGGGCCAAGUGAUAACCAAAAUGAUCUUCCCUGCAGUAGAAGUUACUGAAGGAUGAGUUCCAAUUGUCCUGGCUGCAGCUGGUGGUUCUGCAGGGAGAUGCCAGUGUUCAGCUGUAGGUCCCAGAGCCAUGUGAAGCUGCUGCAGUUCUAGGACUUGCUGACGGACUGAUGCGACCACAUCCGUUGCUACACCUCUUUCCUGAACUUUACCUGAAGUUCACGUCUUGCUGGAACCUGCAGCAUAACACUGAGGAAACUUCCUUUUGACCAGUUGUGAGAUGGGAGACCCCAUUUACUUAAACGGAGAUUCUUGGCCUGUAGAAUGGGGAAUUGGUUUUAUUAGUUACUUCAAUAUUUUUAAGGAUUUGGAAGCCAUUUUAGUGUUUUUUUAAUUAUAUUUGAGUUUUUAAAUAAUUACAAUGGUUUUAAUUAUUUGCUUCAAUUUUAACAGUUUUUAAAUGUUGUACAUUCAGAAAUGGUUAAUAUCACUUAUCAGCUUUGACAGGUGACCAAACUUCAAUCCAGCACCACUAUCAGUGGUGGGGUGUCCAGCAGUGGAGCCCCACCCCUCCACUACCUGAGGCCUAGUUGAUGCUGUGGCUUGCUACAACUUGUUAGACACUCCACAUCUGAGCGGGAAUGGGCAUGGGCAGAAAACAGAGGUAAGAAGGCAGGUGUGAUUCCUGCCUGAGACUCCCAUCAAGGAAAACUGCAUUUAAUGGAAACACGAGAGACCGCAGAUGCUGGAAUC